UACGGAGGGCGCGAGCGUUGUUCGGAAUUAUUGGGCGUAAAGCGCACGUAGGCGGCUCGGUAAGUCUCACUGUGAAAGCCCGGGGCUCAACCUCGGGAGGCCAGGGGAUACUGUCGAGCUGGAGACAAGCAGAGGUUGGUAGAAUUCCGGGUGUAGCGGUGGAAUGCGUAGAGAUCCGGAGGAAUACCAGAGGCGAAGGCGGCCAACUGGGCUUGGUCUGACGCUGAGGUGCGAAAGCGUGGGGAGCGAACAGGAUUAGAACCCCGGUAGUCC
rnacentral:rRNA from 1 species